UCCCCGGUGGUCCAGUGGUUAGGACACCGUGCCUCCACUUCAGGGGGCCCAGGUUCAAUCCCUGGUUGGGGAA